UCAAGUAUGGGUGGUAUACUCC
rnacentral:siRNA from 1 species